AUUGAGAAAAAAAUCAAAAGUCUUUUGUUGUGUUAAAUUCUUCAUUAAUUUCACUCUUAAAUAAAUUUCUAAAAACAUUCAAUAAAUA
rnacentral:sRNA from 1 species